AGUUCAAAUAUUUCAUUGGACAACAAAAGAAAUUCCAAGAAAGCUUUAAUGUGAAUAGGUCCAGCUUCCAAAAACAAAAACUGUGAUUAUGGUUAUCCUUUUUAUCCUGACAGGGUUCUCAAAUUUUGGCAUGUAGCAUCUUCUUUUGUGUUGUUUAUUUUUUCUUUUCAUUUGGAGUUUUAUGUACAUUUCUUUUCUUGGUUUUGUAAGGAAGUAUACAAAGCUAUUCUAGCUUGAAGAGAAAUAUUAUUCAGGAUUAAUUUGAGGAAAGAAAUAUUAUCAAUUUUGUAUCAAACCAGGGAAAAUUAAUAAAAUCCUUUUGUUGUGUUAACCAAAUAAUCCAAGGGGGGCAUACGUUUAUAAUUUCAUUUGCUUUCUGUUGCAUAUGCAUCUAAGAUGGGAAAAUGGUGUCCAAAACAUACAUCAUGUACAAGUUCAGUAGCC
rnacentral:lncRNA from 1 species